AUCGACACAUGUCCUUUCACAACAUGAUAAGUGUUCUCCUUAUAAAAUGCUUGUCCAUAUAAAACGCCAGAAAACUAUCUCAGGAGAACAACUAUUAGCUUUGAUGUUAUAAAAUCGUAGCUUCUUUCCAGUCUCAAUCAGAACUCCACAAGAAUGGUUUCCAUCAUUUUAUUUUGCCAAGUCCUCACUGGUUCUUGUAUCCUAGAACAGCUCACAGACAUUGUUAUCUUCUUCCUAUUUUCUGGGACCUUGGCUCUGCAUCUUCCCACUUCUAUUCAGAACAGUUUUGAGGCUUAGACUCAUCUUUGCAACUCUAUACCGAGUUUCCAACAGCAUGACCUUUGUCUGAAAAUUGAAAAACCCUUCAUCUUAAAAAUUCAACGACCAUCAAAAAAUGUCUUUAAAGCUACAACGUAAAAAAAACAGUUAAAAUAUUUAACAACUAAGAAUACUUGAAAUCUAAAUAAUUCUUUUUUUUCGAAUGAAUGUUAAAUUUAUUCAUUUGAAAAGCCUUUAUACAACUAGUGCAUCCUUUGAGUAAAUCUAUUGUACCCAACUAUUAUAUGUAAGCUAUUUACAUUCUAGUUUGGAACCAAAACUGCAUUAGCUUCUCCAUUCCUUUGAUUCUCUUUCCCCUCAUCACGCUUAUCUUGUUUCGAAUUCCUUUCUCUACCAUUCGAUUGAGCGCUAGAAGGGGCAACGGUUUAUCUCCAUGUUUUAUCUUGUUUCUCUCUCCCCACACUGCAUACAAUGUAGCAUGAAGGGCAUAUCUCAAACAGAACUUACUCAUCUUCUCCCUUUUCUCAUCCACAGCUAAAGCCAACAUUUCUGACCAGACAUUAGUAUAGGAGCUUCGUAAGACACCUUUAGCUAUGUAUUUCCAAACCUGAGUUGAAAAGGAACACUCAAAUAAUAGAUGAUCUCUUGAUUCUGCAGCACUUUUACAGAGAACACAAGUAGUGUCAAGCCCUUGACACCAUAAAGCUACUCUGUCCAGUGUUGACAUUCUAUUACGAGCAGCCAGCCACAUCAUAAACGCAUAUUUUGGAGUAGCUUGAGAGAUCCAAACACCUUUAGCCCAUAAACAUUGAGAUUUACAUUCUCGCAGCUGCUGCCAUGUUUCAAAUGUUGAGAAACUCUUAGCGUAUCCAGAUUUCCUUUUCCACAAACAUAAAUCCUCUCUCUUCAUCAAAACUCCUCACAAUAUCACUCAUCUCAGUCUCAAUGUCUUUCAGCUGCUCCGUACGAUGCCUUCUUCUUCUUCUGGUAUUAAGAACCACCUCCUCCAAGGUCGCUUCUCUUCUUACUCCCAUAUCUAUAACUACACGAUCACCCAGUAUGUCAAACAGAGGACCUUUCUCAGACCAUUUGUCAAACCAGAAAGAUGUAUGUCUCCCAUUCCCCACUUCUUUCAUAUAGAACAGCUUCGCGACCUCUCUUAGUUCCAACAUCUUCCGCCACAUCCAUGAUCCAUUUUGCACAUUAGACUUUACUUCCCAAAAGCUCUUUCCUUUCAGAAGAUUUACCCUAAUCCAUUUCCCCCAUAAGGAGUCUCCCGAAAGCAUCCUCCAUAUCAGUUUCAGCCCAUACACUUUGUUAACUUCUUUCAAUUUCCGAAUCCCCAAACCUCCCUCACUCUUAACAUUACAAAGCUCAUCCCACACAAUUUUUGCUCCCGUUGAUUUAAGUCUAGGGCCCGUCCAUAGAAACGCUGCACAGAUUUUCUCCACCUCCUUAAUACAAUUACUUGGGAGUCUAAAGACUGAUAUCCAGAAGUUCACUAUACUCAACAGCUCAGAUUUUAUCAAAAGCAAUCUCCCCGCAUAGGAUAAGAAUCUACAAGUCCAGGAGCUAACCUUGUUUCUGAUCUUUUCCAGUAGCGGAGUAUAGUCUUGACUUCUCAUCGCCUUAGUCAUAAGAGGUAGACCUAAGUACCUCACAGGUAACUCUCCUUCAGCAAAAGGAAAAUUCCUUAAUAUACUUCUUUUCUCAUCCUCCUGAACUCCCGCCAUAUAAAUCGUGGAUUUCUCUAAGCUUAUCCGUAACCCCGACCACGUUUGAAAUGCAUCAAAGACAGAGAGAGCUCCUUCUAUGGAUCUUUUAGAGCCUUCCACAAAAACCAUCAGAUCAUCAGCAAAGCAAAGGUGUGUGAGAGAGAGACUUUGACAUCCCGGAUGAAAUUUAAACUUCCUUUCUGCCACCGCUCUAUCAAAUCUCCUCGAUAGCACAUUCAUACAUAAGACAAAAAGAUAAGGGGACAGAAAACACCCUUGACGCAGCCCUCUCGAACUCUGAAAAUAGCCAGCAAGGUCCCCAUUCACUUGCACAGAGAAAGACGGGCUUGUGAUGCAUAGCUUGAUCAUAUGGAUAAACUUCUCAGGAAACCCCAGUGCACUCAAACUCCUCAACACAAACUCCCAUUGCACGGAAUCAAACGCUUUAGCAAUGUCUAUUUUCAUCAGACAUCUUGGAGAAACCGUCUCUUUAUGAUAAUCUUUCACUAACUCUGACGCCAAUAGAACAUUCUCCAUUAGAAGUCUGCCUUCCACAAACGCAGAUUGAUUCUCCGAGAUGAUUCUUGGGAGUAGCCGCUUCAAUCUGUUAGCCAAAAUCUUCGAAACAACCUUAUAAAGAACAUUGCAGCACGCUAUCGGUUGAUAAUCUCUCAUCUCCAGCGAGUCAACCUUUUAAGGAAUGAGUGCAAGGAUAGUUGAGUUAACUCCUUUAGGUAAGAAUCCAAACCUGAAGACUGAUUGGACUGCAGUAGCGAAAUCUCUGGAUAACACUGACGAUGUUGUUUUGAAAAACUCGCAUGGAUAACCGUCUGGCCCCGGAGAUUUGUUGUUUGGCAUAGCAAAGAGAACCCUGCGGAAUUCUUCUUCAGAUACAUCAGCUUCUAACAGUCGACAAUCCUCUGAUGUACAUCUAAAUGUAAGCAACUCUUGCAGGUCUUCCUCUGAAGCUCCUUCAUAGCUCUCAGGUUUUUGGUUAAGGAAUUCCGAAAAGAAAUUUUCUGCUUCCUGUUUUAUCUCCAGAUGUGUAGAAACAACUCUCCCAUUUGAACACCUGAUUUCUCUAAUCAUGUUCUGAGCUUCUCUAGAUUUAAUUGCUCUGUGGAACGUCUUGUUAUUCUGGUCCCCCACGUCUAACCAAUGCAAUUUAGCUUUCUGUUUCAAAAAAUCUUCUUCAAGACUCGCCACCUGCAGCCAUUCUCCAUAUGCCUCAGCCUCUUCUUGAAUAGCAACAUCACUGGGAGAUACUAAAGUAGCACCCUGCUUGAUACAGAGAACCUCCAAAGCCUCCUUAGUUCUUUUGGUUAGAUUACCAAUCUUCUCUCUUCCCAUCUCACAAAUCAACGGUUUUAAUCCUUUCAGUUUUUUUGAGAAUCUGAACACUGCCGAGGUUGAAUGAAACAAGACCUCUGUCGAAUCCCAGUAACCUUGAACCAUUGAAAGAAAUCCAGGAAUGUUUCCUAACGCAUUAACAUACUUAAAAGGCUUCCUAAUCUUCUCAACUGGUGGAUAAAGAUGAACCUUACACCUCAUGUGGUCUGAGCAACCACCCGGCUCAAAUACCGCAUAUGCAGACCUGAAACGAUGUAAAGCUUCUUCAUUAAUCAGUACUCUAUCCAACUUUCUGCAGAUGACUCCUUCUUCUCUUUUAUUACACCACGUAAAGCGUGGCCCUUGAUACGCCAUAUCCGUAAGUUGGCAUUGUAAUACCACUUCCUAAAACUCUCUCAUACCACUCGGAAUUCUCCCCGUAGUUACGAAAUUUGAACUCUCCGAACCUUCUAGUAUCUCGUUAAAAUCUCCCAUAAUCAUCCAAGCUUUACUUUUGAAACUGGGAGAGUUAUGAUGUUGAGCAAGAUCUUCCCAUAACACUCUUCUUUCUUCCAUCUGAUUACUCGCAUAUAUACAUGUGUAGUAAAAACCCUCCUCCCCUUGCAACUCCACUAGACAGGUAACUAGUUGAUCCGUCUUACAUCAUCUCUUCAAAUAAGCCAGAUUCUUCCUCCACUACUAUCUUCAUAGUUAGUAAUAGAAGACCAACCCUUGAAUACAUAACUCAAUAUCUUCUCUGCUUUCCUUUCCUUCACUCUAGUUUCCAAUAUACAUCCAAACUUCAUCUCUUUAUUGCUUAGCCAAUCACCAACAACGGAAUGUUUCAAAGAUUUGUUAAAGCCGCACACAUUCCAGAAAAAACUCGCCAUUUUAGAGAUUGCAUCUAGAAGACCUUUUCCCCUUUGGAUGAACCUCUGGAGCUUUAGUCUUCUGAACUCUCUUCCCCCCUUUUGACAUUACUGACUUAUCUUUCUCUUUGGAUCUUAAUAUCUCAUCUUCUAAUAGAUCACUCUCCAAUACCUCAAUAUUCUCGAUUUUCUCUCUUGCUUGUUUUCCUCCCUCAUGCCCCUCCAGUUGUAAAAUUUCACCUUCCUCUGCUUCAUCAAGACUUAACACAGAAUACUUCGAAGCUGAAAUCUGAACUCCACCUGGUUCUCUUUGUGGAGUUGAUUGAACCCUUCCAAUCUUAUCCGGAGACACCAGCGCCCAAGUAUUACUAUUAUCCUCUUUACUUAUUGUAUCUUCUUUCACUACUUUAUUUUCUGAUGUCUCAAUACUUUCCCUUCUCAAUGUCCUUCCUUCCCGGUCCUGUGACUCAUCAUCCUUUUCCCCUGCUUUCUCAACACUCCCUCCUGCUCCUCCAAUAUUUAUGUUACCUUCUCUUACUUCACUUUCCCCUUGCUGUUUUCCUCUCUUCUUCAUUACACAAACCUUCUCUGUGUGUCCCCAUUUCUCACAGCAGUUACAUCUAGACGGUAACCACGGAUAGUAGAACUCUGCUGUAAAUUCCUUCCCCUCCAAAGUAAAAUCUAUCUCCUUAGGCAAGCUCUUUGAUACAUCAACAUUCACAAAGACCUUUGCUUCUUCAAAAUUUGAACACGCAAUGGUCUCUGGAUGAAGACGCACCGGAAAUCCCACAGCACUAGUCAUAAAACUUAAUGCCUCCCAUGAAAACAUAUGGAGUGGAACCUUUCUCAGAUGAACCCACAUCGGUAUAGCUUCUUCCUCUUGUUUUUCUUCCUCAGUUUUUGGAGUCCAUUUCUUCACCACCAUUGGUACUCAAGCUAUAUUCCACAUACCCCUUUUUAUAACUUUCUCCCGAGCUUUCUGACUUGUUAUCUUGAAUCUCAUCGUAUUAGCAUUGACAUCAUACACCUCAAUCUUAGCCUUAGCUUCUCCAUAACUCCAUAUCUUGUUCACCACCAUAUGAACCCUGGCUAUAUGAGGCGCAAUAUCCAAAAAUUUCCCAACAACAAAAUCUUCCCAUAAAGGAGUCGAAUCAGAAAGAAUAUCUUCCGGAAUCACCACCUUGUGCUUACCAUUCGUCGAUGUUAUCUCAACCUCGUAUUUCUUCAAACUUCUCUUAUCCUGCGCCACUGAAACCCAGCUUGGAUUCCCUUUCUUCAGAUCUACCACCAUCACCCCUUUUGCUUCUUCAGAACCUUCCACAAACCCAUCCCUCACAUCCUGCUCCUUCCGAUCACUCUCCGGAGGUUCAGAUGAGCCCAGCGAAACAGCCGAAUCCAUCGGAAACCUUGAUUUCGAAAUCGCACUCAGAAUCACCAAAAUAUCGCCUCAGUCAAAACGCAGCGUUUUUAAUCUAAAUAAUUAAUCUUACCUGCUAUCCUUUUAAGAGAGUAAAUCUUGCAUAAAGAGAAUUCAAUACACCAGAGCUAUAUCUUCAAGCACCUAUCAGAAAACCAAUCUACAUGUGUAAAGGAAAAUAUAUCAAGUCGAUUCACAUAAAAAGAAACUGAGACCAAAAAUGAAGAGAAGACAAGUAUCACUGUAUAAGGUAACUUCAUUCUAGAGGAUGAGAUACAAAGUUAAUCUAAUAUAUAUCAAUCUAUGACUCUCAAAGUAGAUAGAGACGUGAGAUCCAUAUGACUUAGAUAGAAGAGUUGUUCAACGAAGAAAUGGGACAGGAAGUUUGUGAUGUGACGGAAACAAACCAAGCUUUGAGGGGAAAAUAUUCUAUGUAUGCUUAGAUACAUAACAUAAUUUUGGGCAGUCACGCACAUCGGCACAUGUGAACGAUUCUUUCCUCAAGUCCCAAAACAAAUCAUCAUGAAGUCUAAACAAAGUGUUAAUAAAACAGAAAAAGAUGCAUCAACCGCUACCGUGACCACUUAGCAUCAUUUUACCAAUUUGGAGAAAAAUCCAUAUCGAUAGUAUUAAGGAGAGAAAAAGGAUAAAGAUUGAAACUUUAUUUGCGAAGCUUUUGUUCAAAACAAUCAACAGUCUAAUUUUUUCACAGGAAUAUAACAAACAAUUGGAAUUUGCAGGACAUGAGAACCUAGGACUGAAAUCCAAAAAAAAAAAAAAUCUAGAACUAAUGAUUUAAUGGUUAGAAAGAUAGACUGCAAAAUGAUGAGCUGUGGCUAAGAAGCCCUACGGGUGAAUACAUAUACUGAAUAAAUUUUCUAAUGAAGGCAGAGAAGAUGAAUGGGUGAGAAAUAGUGAGCUGCUUGGAUUGAAUGAAGUCAUUAAGAGCAAUCACUUAACUGAAAUAUAAUUAUAACGUCGUCGAAGGUGCACAUAUGGUGGUCCAUGGCGGAAAAGUAAAAGUGUUACGUCGUCGGAGACGCAAACUCCAUAUGAGUUAGAUAGAAGAUAAAACCAAAGACCUGGUCUUCGUGGGGAGAAAACGUAAUCGAAUUCCAAGAGAGGACUCGUAAUCUAUUGUAAGAAUCUAUAAAAAACAAAGACAGAGCUAGCCGGAGUUACCUUCUCAUUCAGGAAAAGCAUAUUAGGGAUCCCGUAUAACUGUGGUUAUUCAUCGCAGAGAACGGACCGUUUUAUAGUGAAAAGUCUCAAGCGGCUACCUUUGAUGAUGUUUAAUUCAGAGAGAGAGUGGGAUGAAUAGUGGGAAAGCAAUAAAUGAUGAGAAAACGGACGACGGUAGAACUUACAUGGCUCUCCUCUAAGUUUCAAAGAGACGAAGAGCUAGGGGGAGGAGCCAAAUCCUGAUCGCAGGAGCUAGAAA
rnacentral:lncRNA from 1 species